rnacentral:rRNA from 1 species
UACGAAGGGGGCUAGCGUUGCUCGGAAUCACUGGGCGUAAAGGGUGCGUAGGCGGGUUUUUAAGUCAGGGGUGAAAUCCUGGAGCUCAACUCCAGAACUGCCUUUGAUACUGAAGAUCUUGAGUCCGGAAGAGGUGAGUGGAACUCCGAGUGUAGAGGUGAAAUUCGUAGAUAUUCGGAAGAACACCAGUGGCGAAGGCGGCUCACUGGCCCGAUACUGACGCUGAGGCACGAAAGCGUGGGGAGCAAACAGG